AGUGAAACUCUGUCUCAAAUAAAUAAAUAAAUAAAUAUAAAAGAAGACAAAUAUUCAAACUAGAAAUUAUUUGUUAAUACUUAUUGUUAAUUUACUUCUUAAUCUGCCUUGCAUUUUUUUUUUCUCUGUAGAAAACUCAAAAUAAUGUAUUAUAGGCACUUGUAAUUAUAAAGUUAAUUAUGGGAGAGAGACAAGGUAGAUAGGAAUUGGAGAAUAUCAGGCCUGGAAGUGUCAAAGGCAGUAUCGUCCAACUCAUCAUUUAAUAAAUGGGAACAUUAAAGAGCACAAAGUCAAAUUGUUGUCCAAGACCACAAAGAGCCUGGAGAGAACCAGGACUCCACGCCCCUUGGCUGAGUGUUCCUUCUUCGCCGUACUUCCAUCUCUCUAGAGUCACACCUAUGGUUGAUUUUAUGAUGCUGAUAAUGAUCAAGAGGAGGAAAGAGGAGAGAAAUGGUCCCAUAAUUUUGGCCUUAUUUGCAGGAAUUGGAAAAUUUCUCCCACAGCCAGACACACUCAAUUGGUUAGUUUUCUUCAAAACCCUGCCCACAGCAGCAUUCUGAUCAACAUCCAUCACUUUCCUUCCCAGGAUUCCAGAGGAGAUCCAGGUGGUGAUCAAAGAGGAGACCCUGUUGGCAAAGCUCCCUUCUGGCACUGAUGAACUGGAUGUAAGGUCUAUCUCUUGUCCCUCUGAAUGAUAACAAAAAUAUGCUUACCUAAAGUUGCUCCCUGGAUCUCAACAGAAACUUCAUAACUGGUCAUUGCUUCCAGAAAACCUUCCUACCAUUCAGGCUUACACAUAGCUGGCCACUCAGCUAAGACAAGUAAUGGGCUGAGAAAAAUCAAAUAAAAGUGUGUGGUUUUGAUAUAUGCAUUUUAUUACUGGCAUUAGUCAAGUAAUCAUGGGCCAGUGAAUUUUCAAAGCAGCCUUUUAAUACUCAAGCACAGUGCAGAGUAAGAAGGAUGAGAAUAUGACCUUUUCAAAGCCCCAUUUUUCUUAGGCCUUUUAGUAACUCCAUGGCCCCAACUCUGGAAUCUGAAGACUUAAUCUUAAAAGAUUAUGUGGGAAGAGGCAGCAAGGUGUAGAUAAAAACAUGCUGAGCCUAAAGUCGAAAAACUGGAGACUAUAUUUUGAUGGUAAAUAUCAGAUGUAUGACCCUGGCAAGGCAUUUGACUUUCUGGCCCUGGUUUCCUCCAUGAAAAACUGGGAUAAUAUUCAUAUUUGUCAUUUGUAACUACUACUGUGUUGUUCAAAGAUAAACAGAAAGGGUAUAAGAUAUUCGAAUAUUAUUAUUUUCAUUAAUUAUAAUUAUAGUAUUAGUGCUCAAUUGCAUUAGGCUUCUCCUUAAAACAAAAUUGCUUGUAUGUCUGAAUGGAUCAGGAAAAGAAGAUGGGAGGGGCAAAAAAAGGAAAGUCACUCUUUUCCUGGAAAGCGUUGUUGUUUAAUUCUUUUCUUGGAGUAAAAAAUCCCAGCCACGCCGUAGGGAACAGAACAUAGGCUUCUCUUUGAUGUCACCCCUCACCCAAUAGUAUCACUUCCCUUUUUUCACCAACCGCUUCAAAGAUCUUACGUCUGGGCUUCUGUAGUGACCACGCCAAACAUUUAAAUCCCCCACUUAAACAAGUACCAGAGACGAAACAACCAAAAGAAAGACAAAGCAAGAGGAGAGAGGGUAGAAAGAGAACAAUACAAUCGUGUUCUUUGAAAGGAUGAUGGUUAAUAAGACUUACUUUAGUUUAGAGCCAAAUAGUUUUCUUCCAACAGAGACGGUCAUAGCAAACCCAGACAGGAGCGGGCAGGAGCAGAGACGUGAGCCCUGCUCUCUAACUAGUGGUAUUAUCACCCAUUUGUGGCUCCUGAGAGAGAACAGCGGGGCAAGCCAGGCCUUAGCACUGUGCCUUGCAUUAAUUAACAAGCACGGACCUGGCCUUUCAGGUACACCAGGGAUGGGCCUCUCUCCCUCGUCUUAGGUUCUGCCGGAAGCCAGGGUGAGUCCUGUACAGAUUCUGAACCCUUCUUUAUGUGCACAGACCCAACUCUCACGCCUACCGAUGUUGGUCUGUGCUACUCCUUCAUCCAGGCAGCAAAUCAGCACGGACCCAGGGUAAGUCAUAGAAAUCAGGAAAAUGAGGUAGUUACAGAGCCUGCUAAGGAGCCCAAGAAGUGAGAGUUAGGGCAGAAAGCCUCUUCAGUCACUCCUUCACCAGGCCAUUCUUUUAUUCCUGAGUCACCCUCCACACCCCAGCGUUCAAACUGAGACCCAUCACUCUUACCAGGUAUGGACAGAUGCUGCAAAUGCUGCCUUUUGUACGACUAUGGCAAUUUGACACGAUGUUCUUCCUGUUGUGUUUGAAAUCUCCCCAUGCACUUCCUUUCAAGUGGUUAUUUCUUAGCUGGAUCGAGGAAAGACCAGCCUUGCAUAAGACAAAGCCAGUGAUCAUUAGCCAGCAUGGAGCCGUGAGCAGUGCAUGCGUAGUUAUACUAAUUGGUUGAUUGAUGCAGGUUCUGUUGGAAAAUACUGCAUUUUAAGGAAGUGCAACCUUUUAACUUCUGACAUGGAGUAGGCAGCAUGCCAAGAGAAGGACUGGACUAGUCAUAGAACAAUCCGUUGAGCCGUGGGCACUGAAUUGAGCACAAAAUAAGCAGGGUUCACAGAUUCGCAGAGGACCCAAGGAGAAGAGAGCCAGCAGGUAAUUGUCAG
rnacentral:lncRNA from 1 species